rnacentral:lncRNA from 10 species
CAGAAAUAAUCAUGAGGAAAGUGCAAUUGUGGGAUCAUACAAGCUGAGGAUGCCUAGAGGGAUCCCUGGAUGUCUGUGAGCUGUAAGGCUCAAGUGGAUUCCUGCAGUGCUCAGCAAGCCUCGCCAGGCCCCAUGUGCACAGGUGUGGGGGUCUUGCUCUGUCAUCCAAGCUGGAGUGCAGUGGUACAAUCACGGCUCACUGCAACCUGGACCUCCAGUGCUCAAGCAAUUCUCCCACCUAAGCCUCCUGAGUAGCCAGGACUACAGCCCAAGAACUGGAAACAACCCCCGUGUCCUUCAACAAGUCGGUAAAUGAUUAAGCAGACUGGUUCAUCCAUACCAUGAAAUACUACUCAGCCAUGAGAAGAAACAGCCUUGAUACACAAAGCAACCUGGAUAAAUCUCCAGAGAAUUAUCCGGAGUGGAAAAAGCCAAUCCCCAAAGGCUGCUACACAGUCCGUGACUGCAUUAGUUUAACAUUCUUAAC